GGCUCAGAACGAACGCUGGCGGCGUGGAUAAGACAUGCAAGUCGAGCGCUGAUUGCGGGGUAGCAAUAUUCCGCAGUUGGAGCGGCGCAAGGGUGCGUAACACGUGGGUAAUCUGCCAUGAAGUCUGGAAUAACUUGCUGAAAGGCGAGCUAAUGCCGGAUGUGAACAUUGGGCGGCAUCGUUUGAUGUUCAAAGUUGGGGACCGUAAGGCCUGACGCUUCAUGAUGAGCCCGCGGCCUAUCAGCUAGUUGGUGAGGUAACGGCUCACCAAGGCUAAGACGGGUAGCUGGUCUGAGAGGACGACCAGCCACACUGGAACUGAGACACGGUCCAGACACCUACGGGUGGCAGCAGUCGAGAAUUUUUCACAAUGGGCGAAAGCCUGAUGGAGCGACGCCGCGUGGGGGAUGAAUGGCUUCGGCCCGUAAACCCCUGUCAUUCGGGAUCAAUGCCUGCGGCCUAAUACGUUGCAGGUUGAUAGUACCGGAAGAGGAAGGGACGGCUAACUCUGUGCCAGCAGCCGCGGUAAUACAGAGGUCCCAAGCGUUGUUCGGAUUCACUGGGCGUAAAGGGUGCGUAGGUGGUCGGGUAAGUCUGAUGUGAAAUCUCGGAGCUUAACUCCGAAACGGCAUUGGAUACUAUUCGGCUUGAGGAUUGGAGGGGGGACUGGAAUUCUCGGUGUAGCAGUGAAAUGCGUAGAUAUCGAGAGGAACACCAGUGGCGAAGGCGAGUCCCUGGACAAUUCCUGACACUAAGGCACGAAAGCUAGGGGAGCAAACAGGAUUAGAUACCCUGGUAGUCCUAGCCGUAAACGGUGCACGUUUGCUGUAAAAGGAAUCGACCCCUUUUGUGGCGUAGCCAACGCGUUAAACGUGCCGCCUGGGAAGUACGGUCGGCAAGAUAAAACUCAAAG
rnacentral:rRNA from 1 species